rnacentral:rRNA from 1 species
AUGGACUCGGAUGACGAGGAAGUGCUCGCCGCGCUGCUGGAGGAGGAAGCCGAGGCCGACGUCCAGGAAGAAGAGCAUCUCAUGGUGCUCGCCACCCUCGCCCAGCUGCUGGCGAGCAAUGAAAAGCCGUGGCGAGGUGGCUCGGCGCCGGGGCGGGUGAAAGCAAAGAACCGGCAUCGUCUCGAAGGCUACUGCAUGCUCUACUCCGACUACUUCGCCGAUGCUCCACUUCACGGCGGCAGAACAUUUCGGCGCCGUUAUCGGAUGAGCAGAAAGCUUUUCCUCAGGAUUGUGAAUUCCAUCCGGGAGUUCGACAACUACUUCAAAUGCAAGAUGGAUUGCACCGGCAAACUUGGAUUCACCUCCAUCCAGAAAUGCACGACAACGAUGAGGAUGCUUGCAUACGGAGCUCCCGAUGACUCACAGGACGACUAUGGGCGGAUGGCCGAGUCCACCAGCAUAGAGUGUUUCUACAAGUUCUGUCGGGCAGUUGUGGCAGUGUUUGGACCGCAAUACUUGAGAACACCCAAUGCGGAAGACACUGCUCGGAUCCUAGCACAGAAUGCAGCAAGAGGAUUUCUUGGGAUGCUUGGAAGCAUCGACUGCAUGCAUUGGAAAUGGAAGAAUUGCCCAUUUGCUUGGCAGGGGAUGUACAAAGACGCCAAAGGCGGUUGCAGUGUGGUACUUGAGGCGGUGUCCACACAGGACCUCUGGAUUUGGCACUCCUUUGGUAUGCCAGGAACUCACAAUGACAUCAACGUGCUGCAGUGCUCUCCUGUCUUUGCCAAGCUUGUUGAAGGUCAUUCUCCUCCGGUGAACUUCGAGAUCAAUGGGCAGCACUACAACAAGGGGUACUAUCUAGCUGAUGGCAUCUAUCCGAGAUGGUCGACAUUUGUGAAGACCAUCAAAAACCCUGUGCCUGGAGGCAAGAACGCCUGGUUUGCGAAGAUUCAGGAGGCUUGCAAGAAGGAUGUCGAGCGGGCAUUUGGUGUGCUCCAAUCUCGAUUUGCUGUUGUCCGGUACCCCGCUCAGACCUGGUCGAAAGAUCAAAUGUGGGAGAUCAUGACCUGCUGUGUCAUCUUGCACAACAUGAUCAUUGAGAGUGAGCAGGAAGAGCCAGUGUUUGACACUGAACCAUACCACAGGCAGGCUCCUCUUGCCCAAGUUGAUCACCAGCUACCGGCAACCUAG